CCCGUCUGCCCUGCAAAGUUUAACGCCAAUUCCCCGCGCGUCCUGCGGGUCGGGCGUCCCCUCCACCGGUGCUGGCGAGGCCGGAGAGCGCCCUGACCAUUUUCCAGACGGUGACAUGGAGGCCUCAAAGCCCAGGCUGCGAGCAGAGUGGCGGGAGCUGCCCACUGCCCGGCCUUCCACACGCACCCCAGUUCCAGUUCCCUGUGGGCCCCAGCCAACCCUCCAGCGCCUGGUGUUUGCAGAGUGAGUCCCCAUAACCUAGAAAGUCUUUAACUCUACGGAUCUGCUGAGGAAGAGGCACAGCCGCGAAAUUGCGCGUGAAACCACCGGGGGUCUCCGGACCCUCUGAAGCCCAACCAGGGCUCUAAGUUAGGGCUCAUCCCCGUUCUAACCCGAGCGCCAGCUUCCACAUCCCCGCCAUCAGCAGGGCACUGGAGCUGCGGGGCCUCCUGGUGCGUCAGCCCUUGCCCUUGCUGUGCCCCCUGUCCCCUGAGCUGGAGUCCUAGGCCACCCUCUGCUACACUUUGUCCAGCCCCAUUCUCAAGCAGCUGUCUUGUAUCCACAAACAGAGGCGGUGGGGAAGCAGACACUUGUGGACAGACACAGGUCGAGGACCAGGUGGGACAAGCUUGCCCCACUCCUCGAGACUGUCUACCUUGCACUGCGAGCCUCGGCAGACCCAGGCGGCUUUCCAGCCGCUCACCCCAAUUUAGAAGCGCUCGUCCUCCCCUCCACCCUACCUCGCCAUACUAUCCACACACUGCAGCUGAGCAGGCGGAGGGAGCAGAUGGAGAGAAGGUUGCAGGCAGCAACGGGGAGGAAUUUGUCUCCAGCACAGUGGUGGAGUCAGGAGUCCCUGGGAAGAAUGGGCGGGGGAGAAACAUUCAUCUGCCCUUGGCCUCCCCCUCCAACCUCACUGCUGUCUUCGGUACGGAAUAUUGAGAACGCCAGGCUGGGCCAGUCCCUGCUAAUCGAUACCCUGACCUUUCUCCCAGCUCCCCAGCCAAAGCCCAGGGGGACAGAGGGGGACACAGCCUCGGUGCCAGGGGGAGGGGAGAGGAUGACCAACAUCUGUGGACCCUCCGAGGCUCAGCGGGACAAGUCACGUGCUCGAGAGCACCAGGCCUGUGGUUUUUCAUGACCUCACACCCUCCCCCAGAAGGACGCACCACCCGGCAUCAUUAUGUGUUUGCAGAUGAAUACACAGCGGCUCAGAGGGCUGAUGAAAUUUGCCAGCAGGUGACAAUCAGUAAGUGUGACAGACCCAGGACUCGGACCCGGGGCUGUGCGACCUCCGGCUUGAGCCUGUAACCACUUGGCGACACUGCCCGUCAGAUCCAGGAGCAGGUUGAUGCUUCCCAGCAGUGAGACUCUAAAGCAGCGGGAGUUCCCGGCCGGAGCCGUGGUCUCCGUGCCAGCGUCUGAAUGUCUGUGAGCAUUUCAAGUCAUUCCACGAAAAGGCGACGUCAGUGGCACCAUUAAACCCUGCUGUUUCCCGGCCCAUCACCGCCGUCCCCACCUAUUAAAAUAAUAGCAUGAAAAAUAAACA